UCACUGAUUGAAUUAGUAUGGAUUUCAACUGCAUAAGACUCUACAUUAGACUCCUAAGUAUUAGUUUACUAUGUGGUUUGUAGCCUGGUCCAUUAAAGGAAAUUUUUUGUGAGUAUCACCAGAAUAGAUAAAUACAUAUAUUGUGCAUUAAAAGUGUGUGUGUGU